GCCUGGCUGGCUCAGUUGGCAGAGCAUGUGACUCUUGAUCUCAGGGUUAUGAGUUGGAGUCCCAUGUUGGCUA
rfam:Felis catus isolate Cinnamon breed Abyssinian chromosome D4, whole genome shotgun sequence.